rnacentral:rRNA from 1 species
UAGGGAAUCUUCGGCAAUGGGGGGAACCCUGACCGAGCAACGCCGCGUGAGUGAAGAAGGUUUUCGGAUCGUAAAGCUCUGUUGUUAAGGAAGAACGAGUGUGAGAAUGGAAAGUUCAUGCUGUGACGGUACUUAACCAGAAAGGGACGGCUAACUACGUGCCAGCAGCCGCGGUACUACGUAGGUCCCGAGCGUUGUCCGGAUUUAUUGGGCGUAAAGCGAGCGCAGGCGGUUAGAAAAGUCUGAAGUGAAAGGCGGUGGCUCAACCAUUGUAGACUUUGUAAACUGUUUAGCUUGAGUGCAGAAGGGGAGAGGAGAAUUCCAUGUGUAGCGGUGAAAUGCGUAGAUAUAUGGAGGAACACCGGUAGCUGAAGCGGCUCUCUGGUCUGUAACUGACGCUGAGGCUCGAAAGCGUGGGGAGCGAACAGG